rnacentral:rRNA from 1 species
AACAGGAUUAGAUACCCUGGUAGUCCACGCCGUAAACGAUGUCGACUUGGAGGUUGUGCCCUUGAGGCGUGGCUUCCGGAGCUAACGCGUUAAGUCGACCGCCUGGGGAGUACGGCCGCAAGGUUAAAACUCAAAUGAAUUGACGGGGGCCCGCACAAGCGGUGGAGCAUGUGGUUUAAUUCGAUGCAACGCGAAGAACCUUACCUACUCUUGACAUCCAGGGAACUUAGCAGAGAUGCCUUAGUGCCUUCGGGAGCCGUGAGACAGGUGCUGCAUGGCUGUCGUCAGCUCGUGUUGUGAAAUGUUGGGUUAAGUCCCGCAACGAGCGCAACCCUUAUCCUUUGUUGCCAGCGGUCCGGCCGGGAACUCAAAGGAGACUGCCAGUGAUAAACUGGAGGAAGGUGGGGAUGACGUCAAGUCAUCAUGGCCCUUACGACCAGGGCUACACACGUGCUACAAUGGCAUAUACAAAGAGAAGCGACCUCGCGAGAGCAAGCGGACCUCAUAAAGUAUGUCGUAGUCCGGAUUGGAGUCUGCAACUCGACUCCAUGAAGUCGGAAUCGCUAGUAAUCGUGGAUCAGAAUGCCACGGUGAAUACGUUCCCGGGCCUUGUACACACCGCCCGUCACACCAUGGGAGUGGGUUGCAAAAGAAGUAGGUAGCUUAACCUUCGGGAGGGCGCUUACCACUUUGUGAUUCAUGACUGGGGUGAAGUCGUAACAAGGUAACC